rnacentral:rRNA from 1 species
AUUGAACGCUGGCGGCAGGCCUAACACAUGCAAGUCGAACGAGUGGCGGACGGGUGAGUAAUGUCUGGGAAACUGCCCGAUGGAGGGGGAUAACUACUGUAAACGGUAGCUAAUACCGCAUACGCUCAGAUGUGCCCCGAUGGGAUUAGCUAGUAGGUGUGGUAACGGCUCACCUAGGCGACGAUCCCUAUCUGGUCUGAGAGGAUGACCAGCCACACUGGAACUGAGACACGGGCCAGACUCCUACGGGAGGCAGCAGUGGGGAAUAUUGCACAAUGGGCGCAAGCCUGAUGCAGCCAUGCCGCGUGUAUGAAGAAGGCCUUCGGGUUGUAAAGUACUUUCAGCGGGGAGGCGUUACCCGCAGAAGAAGCACCGGCUAACUCCGUGCCAGCAGCCGCGGUAAUAC